UAACGGCGAGUGAAGAGGGAAGAGCCCAAGUUUGAAAGCUGGCGUUUGUAUUCAGGCGUCCGCAUUGUAAACUCGAGAAGUGUUAUCCGCGCCGGACCAGGUUCAAGUCCCUUGGAAUAGGGCAUCAUAGAGGGUGAAAGUCCCGUGCUUGAUCUGGAACCCCCGGGGCUUUGUGAUGCGCUCUCAAAGAGUCGAGUUGUUUGGGAAUGCAGCUCAAAAUGGGUGGUAAAUGCCAUCUAAGGCUAAAUAUCGAGGAGAGACCGAUAGCGAACAAGUACCGUGAGGGAAAGAUGAAAAGAACUUUGGAAAGAGAGUUAAACAGUACGUGAAAUUGCCGGAAGGGAAGGGUAGGAAGUCAGACAUGCCUUUGCAGAUUCAGCCUUGUCUUUGGACUUGGUGCAUUUUUGUAAUGGCAGGCCAGCGUCGGUUUGUGUCGCCGGAUAUAGGUUUAGGGAAUGUGGCUUUACCUUCGGGCAAAGUGUUAUAGCCCUUUACUGAGUACGGCGGUGUGGACCGAGGAACGCAGCGCACCCAUUAGGGCGGGCCUUCGGGCACCUUUGCGCUUAGGAUGCUGGCUUAAUGGCUUUCUGCCACCCGUCUUGAAACACGGACCAAGGAGUCUAACAUGCAUGCGAGUCUUUGGGUGGCAAACCCAUGGGCGAAAUGAAAGUGAAUUUUAAGGUGGGAUCCCUUGCGGGUGCACCAUCGGCCGACUUUGAACCUUUCAUGGGGACGAGUUUGAGCAAGAGCAUUUAUGUUGGGACCCGAAAGAUGGUGAACUAUGCCUGAAUAGGGCGAAGCCAGGGGAAACUCUGGUGGAGGCUCGUAGCGGUUCUGACGUGCAAAUCGAUCGUAAAAUUUGGGUAUAGGGGCGAAAGACUAAUCGAACCAUCUAGUAGCUGGUUCCUGCCGAAGUUUCCCUCAGGAUAGCAGAAACUUAAAUCAGAUUUACGUGGUAAAGCGAAUGAUUAGAGGCCUUGGGGAUGCAACAUCCUUAACCUAUUCUCAAACUUUAAAUGUGUAAGACGCCC
rnacentral:rRNA from 1 species